rnacentral:rRNA from 1 species
AACGCGAAGAACCUUACCAGGGUUUGACAUGCCUGUCGCGCCCCCGUGAAAGCGGGGGCUUCAGUUCGGCUGGACAGGACACAGGUGCUGCAUGGCUGUCGUCAGCUCGUGUCGUGAGAUGUUGGGUUAAGUCCCGCAACGAGCGCAACCCUCGUCCUCUGUUGCUAACGGGUCAUGCCGAGAACUCUGAGGAAACUGCCGGUGAUAAGCCGGAGGAAGGUGGGGAUGACGUCAAGUCCUCAUGGCCCUUACACCCUGGGCUACACACGUGUUACAAUGGCGGUGACAAUGGGUCGCAAUCGCGCAAGCGCUAGCCAAUCCCCAAAAGCCGCCUCAGUUUGGAUUGCACUCUGCAACUCGAGUGCAUGAAAUUGGAAUCGCUAGUAAUCGUAGAUCAGCACGCUACGGUGAAUACGUUCCCGGGCCUUGUACACACCGCUCGCGA